rnacentral:lncRNA from 1 species
CAUGAAACGUUAAUGUAAUUGGAUAAAGUUAAUCCUUAUGUGUACGUGUGAACAUGAUUUCCUUCCAAAUAAGCCAUAGGGUAGCUUGCAAAUCCUGCCUAAGCAGUGACUCUGAAACUUUUGAGAGCAAGCCAUAACCCAGAGACUUGCAAAGGCAGAUUCCUUGGUCCUUCCCCUAGGGGGGACCCUGAGGCUAUCCAUCUGGUCCUGACAGCCUGCAAAGGCAAGUAUUUAAAAGGUGUUUCGGGUGUUGCCAAUGCUGAGGGUCCGCGGCAUACCUGUGAAACCUCAUCCUUGCCUGUCAGCGCUCAGAUGGGCAGUAGCAUCCUCCAGCCCUUCAGAGGUUCCCACAAAUCACCGUCUUCACAGUCAGCUGGGAAGCAUUGAAGAAAUAAAUGCCUUGGAGUUCCCGUUGAGGCUCAGUAGUUAACAAAUCCUGCUAGGAACCAUGAGCUUGUGGGUUCGAUCCCUGGCUUUGCUCAAUGUGUUAAGAAUCCGGCGUUGCUGUGAGCUGUGGUGUAGGUCAAAGAGGAGGCUUGGAUCCCGCAUUGCUGUGACUGUGGUGUAGACCGGCAACUACAGCUCCGAUUCUGCCCCUAGCCUGGGAACCUCCAUAUGCCUCGGGUGCUGCCCUAGAAAAGGCAAGAAGACAAUAAGUAAAUAAAUAAAUAAAUAAAUAAAUAAAUGCCUGAUCUUCAUAACCACCUGCAUGGAUCCUGUUUCUGAUGGGCUGGGGUGAGGCCAAAGAAUUUGGAUUUGUAAAGGUGCCUCUUGGUGACUGAGGGACUAAGAAGUCUGGGAACCACUGCUCUGGUCUGACACUGACCUCUCACUAGUGAGGAACAGAAGCUCAGGUCAGUGAUAUGAGGGUAACCAUAAGCCUUCCUUUGAGGCCACUGAAACCUCCUUUCAGAGUGGAAGAGGUGCCCCCCAUAAGCAGUUUCAUUCAUUGUCUGGCUGUUAUUAACACAGUAGAGGUAUUAUUCUGCGUAUUUCUGGCCUUUCUGUCAACUAGUAUAUAGGAAGAAGGCAGACUCCCAAUUUGUUACCCUAAGUAGCCCCACCAGAAGAGGACUCUGUGUUACCUUCCCAGACCUGUACUCCUUUUUGGCUUAAAUCUUGCCUGGGAGCUUGGCCAUCUAGCCCUCAGUGAACCUUGGGGCUGGGUCUUGCCACCAUCGUGACCACUCAGUGGGGGCAGGCUAGGGAUUGUGCCGGAAAAGUCAAGGCUGUUUCCAGGGGAAACAGUGAUGCCUUUUCUUUGCUGCAUUUUUUUUUUUCCAGCAACAAAAUACAGGUUUUAGAGCCCUGAAAGCUUGUGAAUGCUUCCUAUUUACAAGAUGGUGUUUUUCAGGCCCAGAGCACCUGACCUGUAUCUGCCCACAUCCAGGUCCUGGAUCCGUGAAGUCUGAAAAAGGCACUGCCUUUGUGCAUUUUAUAUUCUAGUCUGGUGAAACCGAUAAAAGUGGAACUACUCUGGUUGGUGCGGAGGAGGGCCAGCCCCCUUCUACCCGGCAACUCCUGCCCCCUCCUCCUUUGGAAAAUGGUGGCGCCUUAGGCCUUCAUGUGGCAGGCGUGAUGCUGGGGGCCAUGUGGGCAUUGGUGAACUCAGCAACUGCAACUCUGGUCUCUGCAAUUGUAUGUUCUGGUGGGAAGAGGUAGAUGAUACCUAAGUAAACAUAUAAAUAAACUAGAUAAAUACAGACAGUGACAGAAUUCCCUUUGUGGCUCAGUGGUAAUGAAUCUGACUAGUAUCCAUGAGGAUUCGGGUUCUGUCCCUGGCCUCAAUCAGUGGGUUAAGGAUCUGGCAUUGCCAUGAGCUGUGGUGUAGAUAACAGAGGAGGCUCAGAUCCCGAGUCGCUCUGGCUGUGGUGUAGGCCGGCAGCUACAGCUCUGAUUAGACCCCUAGCCUGGGAACUUCCAUAUGUCACAAGUACAUAAAAAACCAAAAUAAUAAUAAUAUGGUAAAUGUUCUGCAGUAGACCCAGGAGGGAGUUUAGAGGUCAUCUGACCUCUUAGUUCCCAGCCUUGUCUGCAUGUUAGACUAUCUAGAAAGCUUUUCAGAAAACCCAAACCCAGGCUCCACUCCUGGAGCCCUGACUUGAUUGGUCUGAGAUGGCUCUCGAGUACUGAUAAAGUUUUAAAGCUGGUUGAGAAACCUUUGUGGUCCCGUGCCCUCACUUGACAUGUGAGUCCUCUGUCCCCAUUGCGAGGCAGCAGCGGUGGAUGGGGAACCCACCCCCCACCCCCAAGACUAGGGUGGAAGAAAACCUAGGUUCUCCUCCCUGGUUGGCUCCUCAGUACUUGCUAGGCUACCUUGACUGCUCAUUUUCCCCAUUCAUAGAAUUAGAGUGUUGAACUUAAGAGCCAUCAAGAGCUUGUCCAGCUCUCCCAUUAUAUGAUAAUGUUUCUCUUAAUACAGAAAAAAAAAAAAAAAAAAAAGUCUGGCUUCUCAUCCAGCACAUUGAGGGAGCAAAUACAUGCUUUCUCGUUUCCUUAGUCCUUGUCUCAACCUCUAAUUGCUCUCUGUGCCUCCAUCAGCAGUUCCUUUUGGAAGUGAAAAUUUAAGGUAGAAAGAGGUAAUUAUUUUUUGCCAAUUCUUUAAAUAAAUUUAAGAAUAAGCAAGCUUUCAUUAAUAUUAAUAAUAAAUAUGCCCAGACUCGAUUCUGAUACAUUAGAGUCAUACCUUAUUUGUCAAAUUUUAGCCCAAAGCCUUUUUCAUGUUUGAUGUUUGAGUUAAAACAGAGAAGGUUGGGGUCGGGAGAUUGCUUAAAAAUGGAAACCCUGGAAUAAUCUUAACUGUUACACACCGCAGUAAUUUUAUUCCUUACCAAAUAUUCCAGGCCAGAAACACAAAGAAACUAAGUCUCUCCCAAUUAUUUGUAGUUGAUUUACAAGCAGAAACAGUGUAUCUCCUGUGUUGCCACCUUAUGAAAGAAAACUACAGAACUCCCUUCUGUCAUGAAAAAUGUCACUGCAUUUCCUCAUUUGAAAUCCUGUAUCUCUAAGAACUUGAGUUUCAUUGAAACAUUUACUCAGAAAGAUAGCAGUUCAUCCUAAACCAGCACAGUGUGAUGUAAGCACCUUAACUUUAUUUCCUUUUUGUGUGAAAUCUCUCGGUGGGGUUUGAUAAUAUUUAGCAGUUGCAAAAAUGAUAAAGGAGCCUGAACAGUAAAUGUGAUGGGAGCUGGUAAAUGAAAUUAGAGCCGUGUCUUUUUCAACAGACAUUUUUUUUUUUUAAGGAUGAGCAUAUUGUCUAUUUUGCAUGUAUGUAUUUAAGAAAUUGGACACACGUUGAUAUACACCCAUAUGUUCGCCUUAGACAUAAAAUUAUGGAAAGCCAUCUUCCUGUAACUGAAGUUGCUUCCGUCAUAGCAAGAACCUCCUGAAAAUGAUACUGGUUAACAAAACAAUGGGCAGAAAUCUAUUUGCAAAGCAAUGUUUCUGUCACAAGCAUAGUCAGAGUAGAACAGAAGUGUUUUGUUUCCACCACUGCAGAGAAACAAAGUUGUUUAAUAUGAGUUAAGAUGUCUCAGAGUUUUGGCAGACUUUCUAAGCCCCCUGCUGCAGUUUGCAUUCAGAAUCCCUUUUAAAGUGGGCUUGGAAGUUUCUGUGUGAUUUCAAUGGCUGCUUAGGGGAAAUAUUGGCUAAACUCCUCAGUUUGACUGUUAAGACGGCUUGCGUGUUUUCAGAAUGUUUUCAUUUGCUAGAAAUAUGUUUUGCGCGCAGGCUUCCCCUGUUGAAGAAGGUUGGUUACCAGCCAUCUGAUGAUGCCUCGGGGUGUUUACAGAAAAUGUGGGUGCUGUAGUUAUAUUUGAGCACAGCCCUCCCCUCAACAAAGAUAAUGUGGUAAUCAGCAGAAAUGAGAAAACAUGUACUUAAGGACUGAUGCUUGUAAAAGAGGUGCGGUAAAGAAACAUGGUUGUUCAGAUGUAAGACAUGACUGACAGCUCUCCUUGUAGGCAUGCUAGUAACAAUAAAGUCUAGAAGUUCAACAUCAAAGCGAUCACAGCUUACUCCACCAGUGACUUGCACAUCAAAGAGGGAUCGCAAGACAAAGGAAGUGCACUGAGGUAUGUUUCUGCCUCGUAGCCAGAUGCUCAGGGGGAGCUCCCAGAGCUCCUUUCUUGAAUGUAAAGUGAUUUUUGCAGAUCAGUGUCUUUAUUUCAUAAAUGACCAGGAAUAGAAAAAGAGGGCAGAUGAGUGCUGUAAUUGCUUCCCAUCACUCUAAGUUGGGUUAGGAAAGACUCUUGGCAGGAGUGAUGGGUCUCUCUGGUUUCCUAAAGUAGCAUAUUCUGUACCAGCGUGGGCAGUUCUAACUUCACCUAAAAGAGUCCAGGGAGUUAUUCACAAAAUAAGAGAGUACAAAUCAGAUAGAUUUCAAACUGGUUGUUUUGAAUUAUACUUGCCAUAAAGCUGGACGUUAGGUCAUCGGAGUUAUGCCUUUGUUUCUCCCUCCCUCUUCCUCCCUCUCUCUUAAAUUUUUUUACAAUUCACCUCAUGGGUGGAUUUUUGCAGAAUCAGGUGUGCCUUACCUAACAGGUGUCUGAUAAUGAAUUUUAGACCUGUUAGACUGGCUCUUCAUUCAUCACCAAAUCGGUGCCUCAGUUCUCCAAAUCAAAUGGUGUGUACGCCAGAAUGGCAAAAGUGGAACAGGAAGAAGAGUCUGGAUUUGUCCGCCCCCCCCCUUCUCUUGUUAUUAAAUUGAAAAUAAAAUUAACCAUGCAAGUAUUAUGGGUGAUUUGAAAUAAUAUGCUUUUUUUUUUUUUGGCUUGCCUUUGAAAUGUGAAGAUCUUUUAUAGUUCAUCUUCAGUAAUUUACUCAUUUUUAAGUGCUAUUGAAAAAAUAGUAGUGCUCUGUGUAGUCAUUAAUAAAUACAAAGCAGCUUUCUUAAGGCUCUAGGGAGACCCAAUAAACACAACUGUGUUACUAAUUGAUGCUAUACUGAGCUGACAAAAGUAGUGCAUCGGUAAACAGAAGUUAAAAAGCAAGAAGUUAAAGAACUAUAGGGGAUUAUGUAGACAUCAAGGGUUGGAAAUUAUAAUAAGGCCUCUUUAGGGGAGCAUUAAUUUGCAUGUGGCUGAAUUAGGACACCCAAUUAUUUCUGAGGACAUUAGUAAGAACUCAUCCAAAACACCCCCAAAGUGAGAGGUUUGGGAGGGUAGGGAGUUAGGUGGGCUAGAGGGGGCCCUGAGCACAUCAUAUUUCCCAUAACUCAUGAUGAUGGCUUUCCCUAUGGUUUGUUAGAAUAUCUUUCUUUGUUAGGGAGAAAAAUGCUGAUGAAAUCAAGAGUACUGCAAUUUCUUUGUUCUGUACACACAAUUUAUGUUGAAUUGCCACAAUGGAAUUUUUUUUUUUUUUUGAAGUGGGGAGGGCAGGAGUGUGGAGACAGAAAUAAACCUUUUAAAUCUUCUUUACAUGAACCCCCACAAGGACAUAAGCAUUGAGCAGAUUAAAGAGUGGAUUUAUACUGGUACUAUCCUCUACAACAGUGGUCCUCUAGGCACCCUUGGGGGUCUUGAAGGCCCUUCAGAAGCUUCAGGAGAUUAAAACUAUUUGCAUAAUAACACUCAGACAUUAUUUGCCCUUUGUACCCUACUGACCGUUGGCAUUAAUAGUGCCAAAGCAUUUGUGGGUAAAACUUCUGGCACCUUUGCAGGAAUCAAGUCUUACUCACCCUGACUGUGGACUUGCUAGUAACAAAACAUUUACCAAGUUCAUUUGAGACUGUCCUGAUGAAGCAGUAAAAAUUAUUAAGCUUAUUAAAUUUUGACCCUUGAGUACAAGUCUUUUUGACAAAAUGGGAAGUACACAUAAAAGCACUUCUGCUUCACACUGAACCAUGUUUAUCUCCAGGGAAAAGUACUUGUGCCAUUGUUUUAGUUAAGAGCUGACCUCACUGCUUUUUGAACGGAAUGCCAUUUUACUUACUAGAAUGACUGCAGUUUUUCAGUCUUAGGUAUAGGUCCAACAUAUUCUCAAGAAUGAACCAAGUGGGGAAAAAAAAAAAAAUGAACCAAGUAAAUCCAUCCUGACAAGAAAAAUAGCUGAUGAUAUUUAUUGCCAGUAAAUUCCAGCUUCCAGGUGAAUAUUAGAAUUUGGGAACACUUGUGUCUAACACCAUGAGCCUGACAGCAUGAAUUUUAUAUAAAGAAUUUUCUGGGAGUUCUGGGAGUUCCUGUUGCGGCUCAGUGGUAAUGAACCCAACUAGUAUCCAUGAGAACACAGGUUCGAUCCCUGGCCUCGGUCCGUGGGUUAAGGAUCCGGUGUUGCCGUGAGCUAUGGUAUAGUUCACAGAUUUGACUUGGAUCCUGCAUUGCUGUGGCUGUGGUGUAGGCCAACAGCUAUAGCUCCAAUUAGACCCUUAGCCUGGGAACUUCCUUAUGCUGUGGGUGCAGCCCUAAAAAGAAAAAAAAAAAAUUGCAUUUAUACAACAUUGUAAAUCAACUCUAUUUUAAUUAGAAAAAAAUACAAAAAAAAAAAAAAAGUAAAAAAUCACAUUUACCUUUCCAGGGGAACAAGGGCCACUAUGGAGAAUAUAAAAACUUUGCUAAAGAAGUUGUGGGUGUGCGGC